GAUGAACGCUGGCGGCGUGCCUAAUACAUGCAAGUCGAGCGAACAGACGAGGAGCUUGCUCCUCUGACGUUAGCGGCGGACGGGUGAGUAACACGUGGAUAACCUACCUAUAAGACUGGGAUAACUUCGGGAAACCGGAGCUAAUACCGGAUAAUAUAUUGAACCGCAUGGUUCAAUAGUGAAAGACGGUUUUGCUGUCACUUAUAGAUGGAUCCGCGCCGCAUUAGCUAGUUGGUAAGGUAACGGCUUACCAAGGCAACGAUGCGUAGCCGACCUGAGGGGGUGAUCGGCCACACUGGAACUGAGACACGGUCCAGACUCCUACGGGAGGCAGCAGUAGGGAAUCUUCCGCAAUGGGCGAAAGCCUGACGGAGCAACGCCGCGUGAGUGAUGAAGGUCUUCGGAUCGUAAAACUCUGUUAUUAGGGAAGAACAAAUGUGUAAGUAACUAUGCACUUCUUGACGGUACCUAAUCAGAAAGCCACGGCUAACUACGUG
rnacentral:rRNA from 1 species